GGGGUUUUAGCUUAAUUAAAAGUAUUUGAGUUGCAUUCAGAAGCUGCAGGCUGAUUUCCUGCAAGCCCCA
rnacentral:tRNA from 1 species